rnacentral:lncRNA from 1 species
UUUUUUUUUUGUCUUCUUUUUUACUUCUUUAAAAAUGUUUGGGAUUUCAAAAAAACAGAAUUUUAAUAAAUGUCACUAAUGGAACAAAAGUUCACAAAAUUCAUAAACUACAUAUUUUGAAAUUUAUGAACAAAAAAUUAAUUUUCUAUAACAUUUUUCUAAUUUAGGUAAACAUUUUUGGAAUUUUAUUAACAAAUCAUUGAAGUUUUUUUUAUUUUUACGAAUAUUUUUUGAAUUCUAUGAACAUUUUGGAAAUAUUAUGAACAUUAUUUGAUUUCAAUGAAUAACUUUUUCAUUUGAUGAUCAAAUUUUGAAUUCCAAAAAUGUUCACCCUGAUUUGAAAAAAAAAUCAUAUUUCAAAAAUGUUAACCAAUAUGAAAAAUGUUCCCAGAUUUCAGAACAAUUUCAUGUCUAUCGCCACCACCCACGACUCGCGGUCGUCGUGUGGGCCGGCGUUUGUCAUCAGGUAGAGAACAUCGUCGUCGUGCGCGGUGAGCCUGGGGUGGGUGACGAACAGGGACGGGUCCAGGGGGUUGCGGAUGUCGCUGGUCGCUAGAGUUCACCUCCCCGUCCUUGCGGAACCCCGAGCCGCCCGCCGCCAUGCUCCACGUGACGGCCGUCCAGCCGUCCGGGAUGGGCGAGCCCGGGCUGGCGUGGAGCUGGAGGUCGACGAACUUGAUCCGGCCGUUGAUGACGGCGAUGUCCCGGAAGAAGGACGAGAGGCCGUGGAGACGGAGGUCGCCGUCCGGCUGCACCGGCUCCGGCAGCGGGACGUAGCGAAGCGGCCUGGGGCCGGGGCGCUCCUCCUCCUCCUUCCUCGGGACAUGCACGUCGCAGAGGAGCAUGCCCCGGCAGAGGUCGACCUAGCCCAUGGCGCCCCUGACGGUGACAACCCUGUUGCAGAGAUGCCCCUGCGGCCGCGGAAAGGCAGUGGGCGUGCGGGUCCAGGGGUCGUCGCCAGAGUCAUAGGUGCAGACGUCGUACUGCUUGGCUCCGGAUCGCCGGUGAGAGCAGAGCGUCACGAUCUUGUAGGCGUCGGCGCGGUAGCGCAUGAUGCCGACCUCGCCGCGAGGCAGGUGGCCAUGGCACCUGGCCAAAUUGAAUGACCUAAUUGGAUGAUCUCGAGUUUUGAGGCCACGUAUACUUGGCAGACAAUCACACAAUGCAUAGAUAAGAGUUUAAAAUAUGGCAACGAACAAUGCAUUUACGGUAAGUGAACAGUGUGUUUAUGCCCAUCUCAAGUGGAAGUCAGAAAGAAUGGAAUGCUCUCGUCUACUCUCAUCAUCAGUACAAAAAUAAUAAUGCGCCUUCCAAUGGCGUCUGGCUGCAGUACAACUGGUGCCGUAAUCCUCAUGUCCUUGCGUAUGAACCUAUACUGUAUGGGAGGGGAGGCUGGACGAACUGACCGGGUGACAAAAUGGCGACUUCAGGGGGAAGCACAGACAGAACCCGCUAAAGUGUAACCCCCUGAAUCCAAAACUUCUUCUACGGUGGCCAUGCCCAUGCUCCCACGUUGAUGUUUCUGUUGCUACACUGGUGCUGCCUAUGACGAAGAUGCAACCUCGAUGGCACUUCCGAGUGGCCACGCAGCUUCAACAAACGCGUCACUGUAAGGAACCUUCUUUACCAAUGUCAUCUCUUGUUGGGGAUCAACACCUGCAAGAUGGAAGGCGAGAAGCAUGAGAUAUAUC